AACCAUGCACCGAAGCUGCGGCAGCGACGCUUAUGCGUUGUUGGGUAGGGGAGCGUUCUGUAAGCCUGUGAAGGUGUACUGUGAGGUAUGCUGGAGGUAUCAGAAGUGCGAAUGCUGACAUAAGUAACGAUAAAGCGGGUGAAAAGCCCGCUCGCCGGAAGACCAAGGGUUCCUGUCCAACGUUAAUCGGGGCAGGGUGAGUCGACCCCUAAGGCGAGGCCGAAAGGCGUAGUCGAUGGGAAACAGGUUAAUAUUCCUGUACUUGGUGUUACUGCGAAGGGGGGACGGAGAAGGCUAUGUUGGCCGGGCGACGGUUGUCCCGGUUUAAGCGUGUAGGCUGGUUUUCCAGGCAAAUCCGGAAAAUCAAGGCUGAGGCGUGAUGACGAGGCACUACGGUGCUGAAGCAACAAAUGCCCUGCUUCCAGGAAAAGCCUCUAAGCAUCAGGUAACAUCAAAUCGUACCCCAAACCGACACAGGUGGUCAGGUAGAGAAUACCAAGGCGCUUGAGAGAACUCGGGUGAAGGAACUAGGCAAAAUGGUGCCGUAACUUCGGGAGAAGGCACGCUGAUAUGUAGGUGAAG
rnacentral:rRNA from 1 species